rnacentral:rRNA from 1 species
UGAGGAAUAAUUGCACAAAUGGAGGGAAAACGUCUGAUGCAGCAACGCCGCGUGGAGGAUGACGCAUUUCGGUGUGUAAACUCCUUUUAUGAGUCAAGAAAAUGACGGUAGCUCAUGAAUAAGCACCGGCUAACUCCGUGCCAGCAGCCGCGGUAAUACGGAGGGUGCAAGCGUUAUUCGGAAUCACUGGGCGUAAAGGACGCGUAGGCGGGAAGCCAAGUCUGAUGUGAAAUCCUAUGGCUUAACCAUAGAACUGCAUUGGAAACUGGUUACCUAGAGUAUGGGAGGGGGAGAUGGAAUUAGUGGUGUAGGGGUAAAAUCCGUAGAUAUCACUAGGAAUACCGAAAGCGAAGGCGAUCUCCUGGAACAAUACUGACGCUAAGGCGUGAAAGCGUGGGGAGCAAACG